rnacentral:rRNA from 1 species
GGAUUAGAUACCCUGGUAGUCCAUGCCGUAAACGGUGGGCGCUAGGUGUGAGGGUCUUUUCACGACUUUCGUGCCGUAGCUAACGCAUUAAGCGCCCCGCCUGGGGAGUACGGCCGCAAGGCUAAAACUCAAAGGAAUUGACGGGGGCCCGCACAAGCGGCGGAGCAUGUGGAUUAAUUCGAUGCAACGCGAAGAACCUUACCUGGGCUUGACAUACACUGGUUCGCUGCAGAGAUGUAGUUUCCCUUUGUUGCUGGUGUACAGGUGGUGCAUGGUUGUCGUCAGCUCGUGCUG